rnacentral:rRNA from 1 species
CCCUUAGAUGUCCUGGGCCGCACGCGCGCUACACUGAGUGUCUGAGAUACGAGUCUGCCUGGUCCGGCAAGGUCUAGGUAAUCGCUAAAAGACACAUCAUGCUUGGGAUAGAUUAUUGCAAAUAUUAAUCUUGAACGAGGAAUUCCUAGUAAGCGCAAGUCAACAGCUUGCGUUGAUUACGUCCCUGCCCUUUGUACACACCGCCCGUCGCUACUACUGAUUGGAUGUUUAAGCGAGGUUCUCGAACUGCUAGCGACUUAGCUUCGGUGAGGUCGCAGUGUGGGGGGUGAACCUAGCUUUGGUGUCUAGAGGAAGUAAAAGUCGUAACA